AUGCCUGAAUAGCUCAUGAGCAUCACGAUUGGGUGUUCACAUGUAUGUGUGAGUUGUGCCACCUUCGAAUCUCAUUAGAUGUUGGCACAUUAUCUGUCAGACU
ensembl:snoRNA